rnacentral:rRNA from 1 species
AGUGAACGCUGGCGGUAGGCCUAACACAUGCAAGUCGAACGGCAGCACAGUAAGAGCUUGCUCUUACGGGUGGCGAGUGGCGGACGGGUGAGGAAUACAUCGGAAUCUACUUUUUCGUGGGGGAUAACGUAGGGAAACUUACGCUAAUACCGCAUACGACCUACGGGUGAAAGCAUGGGAUCUUCGGACCUUGCGCGAUUGAAUGAGCCGAUGUCGGAUUAGCUAGUUGGCGGGGUAAAGGCCCACUAGUGCGGCGGUACGUAGCUGGUCUGUGGGCAUGGACAGCGACACUGGAGGUGAGAGACGACACAGAGUCCUAGGGGAGGCAGCAGUGGGUAAGAUUGGACAAUGGGCGCAAGCCUGAUCCAGCGAUGCCGCGUGGAUGAAGAAGGCCUGCGUGUUGUAAAGCCCUUUUGGGGUGAAAGAAAGGCAGCAGGUUAAUACCCCGCUGUCUGACGGUACCCGAAGAAGAAGCACCGGCUAACUUCGUG